UUAAGUUAAUAAGGGCGCACGGUGGAUGCCUUGGCACUAGAAGCCGAUGAAGGACGUGACUAACGACGAAAUGCUUUGGGGAGCUGUAAGUGAGCAAUGAUCCAGAGAUGUCCGAAUGGGGGAACCCGGCAGGUAAUGCCUGUCACUCAUUACUGUUAAGGUAAUGUAGAGGAAGACGCAGUGAACUGAAACAUCUAAGUAGCUGCAGGAAGAGAAAGCAAAAGCGAUUGCCUUAGUAGCGGCGAGCGAAACGGCAAGAGGGCAAACCGAAGAGUUUACUCUUCGGGGUUGUAGGACUGCAACGUGGACUUAAAGAUUAUAGAAGAACUACCUGGGAAGGUAGGCCAAAGAGAGUAAUAGCCUCGUAUUCGAAAUAGUCUUUAUACCUAGCAGUAUCCUGAGUACGGCGAGACACGAGAAAUCUCGUCGGAAUCUGGGAGGACCAUCUCCCAACCCUAAAUACUCUCUAGUGACCGAUAGUGAACCAGUACCGUGAGGGAAAGGUGAAAAGCACCCCGGGAGGGGAGUGAAAUAGAACCUGAAACCGUGUGCCUACAACAAGUUCGAGCCCGUUAAUGGGUGAGAGCGUGCCUUUUGUAGAAUGAACCGGCGAGUUACGAUAUGAUGCGAGGUUAAGUUGAAGAGACGGAGCCGUAGGGAAACCGAGUCUUAAUAGGGCGCAUUAGUAUCAUGUCGUAGACCCGAAACCAUGUGACCUACCCAUGAGCAGGUUGAAGGUGAGGUAAAACUCACUGGAGGACCGAACCAGGGCACGUUGAAAAGUGCUUGGAUGACUUGUGGGUAGCGGAGAAAUUCCAAACGAACUUGGAGAUAGCUGGUUCUCUCCGAAAUAGCUUUAGGGCUAGCGUCGAUGUUAAGUCUCUUGGAGGUAGAGCACUGUUUGGGUGAGGGGUCCAUCCCGGAUUACCAAUCUCAGAUAAACUCCGAAUGCCAACGAGAUAUAAUCGGCAGUCAGACUGCGAGUGCUAAGAUCCGUAGUCGAAAGGGAAACAGCCCAGACCACCAGCUAAGGUCCCAAAAUAUAUGUUAAGUGGAAAAGGAUGUGGGGUUGCACAGACAACUAGGAUGUUAGCUUAGAAGCAGCUAUUCAUUCAAAGAGUGCGUAAUAGCUCACUAGUCGAGUGACCCUGCGCCGAAAAUGUACCGGGGCUAAAACAUAUUACCGAAGCUGUGGAUACCUUUAUAGGUAUGGUAGGAGAGCGUUCUAUGUGCGAAGAAGGUGUACCGUGAGGAGUGCUGGAGCGCAUAGAAGUGAGAAUGCCGGUAUGAGUAGCGAAAGACAGGUGAGAAUCCUGUCCACCGUAAGACUAAGGUUUCCAGGGGAAGGCUCGUCCGCCCUGGGUUAGUCGGGACCUAAGGAGAGACCGAAAGGUGUAUCCGAUGGACAACAGGUUGAUAUUCCUGUACUAGAGUAUAUAGUGAUGGAGGGACGCAGUAGGCUAACUAAACCAGACGAUUGGAAGUGUCUGGCCAAGCAGUGAGGUGUGAUAUGAGUCAAAUGCUUAUAUCUAUAACAUUGAGCUGUGAUGGGGAGCGAAGUUUAGUAGCGAAGUUAGUGAUGUCACACUGCCAAGAAAAGCUUCUAGCGUUAAUUAUACUCUACCCGUACCGCAAACCGACACAGGUAGUCGAGGCGAGUAGCCUCAGGUGAGCGAGAGAACUCUCGUUAAGGAACUCGGCAAAAUGGCCCCGUAACUUCGGGAGAAGGGGCGCUGACUUAUGGUCAGCCGCAGUGAAUAGGCCCAAGCAACUGUUUAUCAAAAACACAGCUCUCUGCUAAAUCGUAAGAUGAUGUAUAGGGGGUGACGCCUGCCCGGUGCUGGAAGGUUAAGAGGAGUGCUUAGCAAUAGCGAAGGUAUGAAUUGAAGCCCCAGUAAACGGCGGCCGUAACUAUAACGGUCCUAAGGUAGCGAAAUUCCUUGUCGGGUAAGUUCCG
rnacentral:rRNA from 1 species